rnacentral:lncRNA from 1 species
AAAUAUGUACUUACUAAAUAAAUAGUUGACAUAAUUCAUACUAUAGUAGCAGUAAUAUAUAAAGAGCCAAAAAAUUGUAAUAAACAUAGAGAGAAUAUUCUAGUUUCAAAAUUGUAUAGUUUAGUACGUAAUCCGGUAAUCGUAGUAGUUUCGAAACAUAAUUAUUCCAAUACGCUGAAAACAUGGAAUCUGCUUUUUUUUUUCAACGUUUUGUGUUUUUUUUUUUUUUUAUAAGACGAACAGAUUGGUACAUUGAAACUAUACAUGGACGUUGGUAGUCUUAUGAAUUGGUAAGAUGGUCAACUAUUUACCAUUUUGAUAAUUUUAAUCCCUUAAAUAACAAAAAGAAAUAUUUUGCAAUUUAGUUGCAUGGCGCAAAGUGAAAUUAACUAGUAGUAAUGUAAAGUCUUGGAUUUGUGCAGACUAAAUUUUCAUUAAAGUAUUUAUAAAUUAGGAAAAAUUUGACUCCAAUUAGUUAUCGUUGUAAGCUUUCUGUUUUGAUUUUUUAAAUAGAUUUUAUAACUAUAUAUG